UUGGAGAAUCGAUUUGGGAUUUAAGAGGACGUUGGAUCUCCGUGAGGAAUAUGGAACCUGGUCUGUUGCAUGAACCAUUAGAUUUCAAAGGACGAGUUGUUUACCCAUUUGGGUUCGGGAUGUUAGAGUUGGAGUAUCGACAUACGGAAUUCGGGGACGAAUUCCAUUCAAGUGGGGGAGAAUUGUAACGGUCCGGUUCCUAGCCCAAAAUUUUUCAUAAAAGAAUGGGCUUCUCUACGGCCCAUUUGACAAAAACCUAGGGUUCCCUUCACCCUUUC
rnacentral:lncRNA from 1 species